CUCCGGUUGAUCCCGCCGGACCCGACUGCUAUCAGAGUGGGACUAAGCCAUGCGAGUCAACAUAGCAAUAUGUGGCAUACGGCUCAGUAACACGUAGUCAACAUGCCCAGGGGACGUGGAUAACCUCGGGAAACUGAGGAUAAACCGCGAUAGGUCAUCACUUCUGGAAUGGGUAAUGACUUAAAUCUAUAUGGCCCCUGGAUUGGACUGCGGCCGAUCAGGCUGUUGGUGAGGUAAUGGCCCACCAAACCUGUAACCGGUACGGGCUCUGAGAGGAGGAGCCCGGAGAUGGGCACUGAGACAAGGGCCCAGGCCCUAUGGGGCGCAGCAGGCGCGAAACCUCUGCAAUAGGCGAAAGCUUGACAGGGUUACUCUGAGUGAUUUCCGUUAAGGAGAUCUUUUGGCACCUCUAAAAAUGGUGCAGAAUAAGGGGUGGGCAAGUCUGGUGUCAGCCGCCGCGGUAAUACCAGCACCCCGAGUGGUCGGGACGUUUAUUGGGCCUAAAGCAUCCGUAGCCGGUUCUACAAGUCUUCCGUUAAAUCCACCUGCUUAACAGAUGGGCUGCGGAAGAUACUAUAGAGCUAGGAGGCGGGAGAGGCAAGCGGUACUCGAUGGGUAGGGGUAAAAUCCGUUGAUCCAUUGAAGACCACCAGUGGCGAAGGCGGCUUGCCAGAACGCGCUCGACGGUGAGGGAUGAAAGCUGGGGGAGCAAACCGGAUUAGAUACCCGGGUAGUCCCAGCUGUAAACGAUGCAGACUCGGUGAUGAGUUGGCUUAUUGCUAACUCAGUGCCGCAGGGAAGCCGUUAAGUUUGCCGCCUGGGGAGUACGGUCGCAAGACUGAAACUUAAAGGAAUUGGCGGGGGAGCC
rnacentral:rRNA from 1 species